rnacentral:rRNA from 1 species
CCCUUAGAUGUCCUGGGCCGCACGCGUGCUACACUGACGCAUACAGCGAGCACUUUCCAGUUCCGAGAGGCUACUGGUAAUCAUCAAUAUGCGUCGUGAUGGGGAUAGAUCUUUGGAAUUCUGGAUCUUGAACGAGGAAUGCCUAGUAAUCGCAGGUCAUUAGCCUGCGAUGAUUACGUCCCUGCCCUUUGUACACACCGCCCGUCGCACCUACCGAUUGGAUGGUCCGGUGAAGCCUCGGGAUUGUGGUUCUUGCCGCUUUAUUGUGGCGUGACCGCGAGAACUUGUCUAAACCUUAUCAUCUAGAGGAAGGUGAAGUCGUAACA